GCAAUUUAACGCCCUCUGGGCGUUUAGAUCACACGUGUCUCUGACGCGUGGUGUGGUGAGGCAACUCCUGCUUUAGAUCGCAGCUACACCCGUGUAUACUACCUUUGUUGCUUUGGCGGGCCGCCUUCGGGCUAGGCUUCGGCUGAUCGUGCCCGCCAGAGGACCCAAACUCUUUUGUUAUAGUGAUGUCUGAGUACUAUAUAAUAGUUA
rnacentral:misc_RNA from 1 species